AGCAGCCGCGGUAAUUCCAGCUCCAAUAGCGUAUAUUAAAGUUGUUGCAGUUAAAAAGCUCGUAGUUGAAUUUCGGGGUCAGCAGGUUGGUCGUGCCACCGGUACGUACUGGUCUCACUGAUUCCUCCUUCCUGAUGAGCUGUAAUGCCAUUAAUUUGGUGUUGCAGGGAAUCUGGACUGUUACUUUGAAAAAUUAGAGUGUUUAAAGCAGGCUAACGCUUGAAUACAUUAGCAUGGAAUAAUGAAAUAGGACGUUCGAUCCUAUUUUGUUGGUUUCUAGGAUUGACGUAAUGAUUAAUAGGGAUAGUUGGGGGCAUUAGUAUUCAAUUGUCAGAGGUGAAAUUCUUGGAUUUAUUGAAGACUAACUACUGCGAAAGCAUUUGCCAAGGAUGUUUUCAUUAAUCAAGAACGAAAGUUAGGGGAUCGAAGACGAUCAGAUACCGUCGUAGUCUUAACCAUAAAACUAUGCCGACUAGGGAUCGGAUGAUGUUAAUUUUAAUGACUCAUUC
rnacentral:rRNA from 1 species